rnacentral:rRNA from 1 species
AUUGAACGCUGGCGGCAGGCCUAACACAUGCAAGUCGAGCGGAUGAAGGGAGCUUGCUCCUGGAUUCAGCGGCGGACGGGUGAGUAAUGCCUAGGAAUCUGCCUGGUAGUGGGGGAUAACGUCCGGAAACGGGCGCUAAUACCGCAUACGUCCUGAGGGAGAAAGUGGGGGAUCUUCGGACCUCACGCUAUCAGAUGAGCCUAGGUCGGAUUAGCUAGUUGGUGGGGUAAAGGCCUACCAAGGCGACGAUCCGUAACUGGUCUGAGAGGAUGAUCAGUCACACUGGAACUGAAACACGGUCCAGACUCCUACGGGAGGCAGCAGUGGGGAAUAUUGGACAGUGGGCGAAAGCCUGAUCCAGCCAUGCCGCGUGUGUGAAGAAGGUCUUCGGAUUGUAAAGCACUUUAAGUUGGGAGGAAGGGCAGUAAGUUAAUACCUUGCUGUUUUGACGUUACCAACAGAAUAAGCACCGGCUAACUUCGU